rnacentral:rRNA from 1 species
UACGUAGGUGACAAGCGUUAUCCGGAAUUAUUGGGCGUAAAGCGCCCGCAGGCGGCUGUUCAAGUCUGACGUGAAAUCGCUCGGCUUAACUGGGCGGGGUCGUUGGAAACUGAAUAGCUUGAGGCAAGGAGAGGGGCGUGGAAUUCCCGGUGUAGUGGUGGAAUGCGUAGAUAUCGGGAGGAACACCAGUGGCGAAGGCGGCUACCUGGACCAGCACUGACACUGAGGCACGAAAGCGUGGGGAGCAAACAGG